rnacentral:rRNA from 1 species
AUUGAACGCUGGCGGAAUGCUUUACACAUGCAAGUCGAACGGCAGCACGGACUUCGGUCUGGUGGCGAGUGGCGAACGGGUGAGUAAUGUAUCGGAACGUGCCCAGUCGUGGGGGAUAACGUAGUGAAAACUACGCUAAUACCGCAUACGAUCUAUGGAUGAAAGCGGGGGAUCGCAAGACCUCGCGCGAUUGGAGCGGCCGAUAUCAGAUUAGGUAGUUGGUGGGGUAAAGGCCCACCAAGCCAACGAUCUGUAGCUGGUCUGAGAGGACGACCAGCCACACUGGAACUGAGACACGGUCCAGACUCCUACGGGAGGCAGCAGUGGGGAAUUUUGGACAAUGGGCGAAAGCCUGAUCCAGCCAUUCCGCGUGCAGGAUGAAGGCCCUCGGGUUGUAAACUGCUUUUGUACAGAACGAAAAGGUUUCUACUAAUACUAGGAGCUCAUGACGGUACUGUAAGAGUAAGCACCGGCUAACUACGUGCCAGCCGCCGCAGUAA